UAGUAGCGGCGAGCGAAGCGGGAAAAGCUCAAAUUUGUAAUCUGGCGUCUACGACGUCCGAGUUGUAAUCUCGAGAAGUGUUUUCCGUGAUAGACCGCAUACAAGUCUCUUGGAACAGAGCGUCAUAGUGGUGAGAACCCAGUACACGAUGCGGAUGCCUAUUACUUUGUGAUACACUUUCGAAGAGUCGAGUUGUUUGGGAAUGCAGCUCAAAUUGGGUGGUAAAUUCCAUCUAAAGCUAAAUAUUGGCGAGAGACCGAUAGCGAACAAGUACCGUGAGGGAAAGAUGAAAAGCACUUUGGAAAGAGAGUUAACAGUACGUGAAAUUGUUGGAAGGGAAACACAUGCAGCCAGACUUGCUAUUCGGGGCAACUCGAUUGGCAGGCCCGCAUCAGUUUUUCGGGGCGGAAAAGCAUAGAGAGAAGGUAGCAAUUUCGGUUGUGUUAUAGCUCUUUAUUGGAUUCGCCCUGGGGGACUGAGGAACGCAGCGUGCUUUUAGCAUAAGCUUCGGCUUAUCCACGCUUAGGAUGCGGGUGUAAUGGCUGUAUAUGACCCGUCUUGAA
rnacentral:rRNA from 1 species